UUGACCUUAAACCUCUGACUGACCUCAGAUC
rnacentral:rRNA from 1 species